rnacentral:lncRNA from 1 species
CCGAGUGGAGAAGCUUUGGAAUUGUCAUCCACCGAGUGAGGAAGCUGUGAGUGAUCACCGAGAGAAGCAAAUGAGAACCGACAGCUAGGUUCUCCAUUUCUUCAACUUCUAACCAUCCUAAACUGAGAGCUAAGUGAGUGAUAAGAGGAGAAAAACCAGUCUGCACUUCACGUAUCAACUACAUCAGUGAACGAAAAGGGUAGAGCUGGUGCAAGUAUUGAAGGAGCCGAGACAGAGAAGGGAUAGAGCAGUCUGCCAUUUUCGAUUUUUAAGGGAAAAGAGGUAAGAAUCUACCAUAACCUUCAGCUUAUUUGGCACAAAUGAGUAUAUAUACAAGGUGCAUGUUAGUUUUUAGCAAGGCACAAAGCGUUUUAACCGAGGAGAAAUCUGAUAAAGGAGAAAAAAAUGGGAACUGGACAGAAAUGGAGGGAACCGAGAGUUGUUGUUGAGUUGCAGCCAUAAAUAAAGUAAAUUUUUUUGUAAUAACCUCUUAGUCAUUCAGUACACUUGAAAAUUAAGGUUGCAUGUUGGAUUUUAACGAAGAAAAACUAAGUUUGAUUGAAGGAAAUAGUUGGAAGUUCUGCUAAGCUGGCCGAAGGAGGAAAGAAGAAAUUUCCAGGUUUCUUUAUAGAUUUUGGUUCUAAACUCCUACGUUGAGGCUUAGUUAUUGUGUAAUGUUUUAGUCUUGGCAUGCAUGUUAGAUUUGAGUAUGAAAUAAAGUAGUUAAUGAAGGAAUUUCUUGCUAAAAGGUUGAUUGCUGUCCGAAGCUUUUCUGUCAUGACCGAGAGAGAGAGUUAAACCUCUGAUCAGUUUUUCUUUCAAACUCCACUCUGUAAACUUUCACAUCUGAUAUUUAAAGCUACUCUGUAGUUUAAUACGUGUAUUUGGCAUGAUGAGCUGGAGUUAAAACUGAAGGAGUUAUGGCGAAAGUGUGGUAUAUUAAACUGCUACACUGCUGAACCUGUUGGCUUCAUCCGAGAAAGAAAACGUAAGAAAUCUUGGGUAUUUCUUGCAAAUCGUAGCUUCUAAACUAGUGUAUUAAGUUGUAAAAUAUCAUAAGUCCCUUAACCUCAGCAAGUAAGACCGAAAUAACCUGAACCUAACGUGAGUAAAGCAGAGCUCUUGAACCCGACUGAUUGCAGGUUGGUGUUCGAGAGAAUGAAGCAGAAUGUGCUUCUGACCGUUCACUUUUGACCUUGAAAAUGCGAGAACUAGGUAUCGAUGUCUUCAUAAGAAAUGUAGGUCUAUGUCUUAAUUUCGAAACGCUAUAACAUUUGUCUCAAUCCGAUAAGUGUAACUUCAAUUGUGAUCAAAACCUCAAAGGAUGGCAAAACUGCCUUUCUGGUUGCCUUUCUCUUGUUUCCCGAAUGCAACUUGCUUUGAUGCUGGCAUUGAGCAAACCAAAUUUUGAACAGCAAUUCUGCUAAUUGCAACUCUGUAAGCUUACAUAAAUGAUAGUUACGGUUGCUCUGAGAUUUAAUGACUAUAUCUAGUUCUACGAGUAGAGUUAAACUAAGGCAAAUGAGAGGAAAACUCAUGAUAAUUAUAUACAUAAAUUGCCUUCUAAUCAUUUAAUCUUGUCUUCACGAAUAUUUUAAAAAUUAUAAAAUUUGAGGGCCUGGUGUAAUGGAAUUAAAUUUAAUUUCCAAAUAACCUAAAGUUUAACUAGUUAAAAGGAACCAAUGGAAUAUUCGUAAGCCUUAAUAUUAGAAUCUUGAGUGGAAAAUGAUUUAAUCCUAAAAUAAGUAUUUUAUAAAUUAUUAACUUGGAAAAUAUGUAUAUUUCUUGAUUAAAACAAUAAAGUCAAUAAGUUUCAAAAUAAAAUGAUAAAUGAAUAUUGAACAUGUUAUAUUUUGUAUUUUAAAGUCAAACUUGAUUUUAAUAGUUCAAAUGAUAAGGUAAGAACAAUAAGUGAACAUCUACAAAUUAUGUAUUAACUUUGAGAUUAUUAACUUGCUUCAGGAAGUAGUUGUGAGCCAGGAACCACCCUGAAGCCCGAGAGUAGUUAUUUGAAUAUUUAGUGAGUGUUGUCGAACUAUGUGGUUAACUGUUUAUGUUCUUAAAUGAAAUUAUGUGAUAAAUGUAUGUAUUAUGGAUAUUGCUAGUGAAUCCUUGUAAUGUGUAAAUCAAUUGUCCCUCGUCUUCUAAGUCGGGAGUGUACUAUAUCGCACACGGCUUAGUUGAGAUUGAAGGUUGAUAAUUGAUUAAAUGAUGUUAUAUAUGUGCAUGAAUGUAAGCCGCAUUGGCUGAACUGGGCCCAAAACCCUUUGUUCAACGGGCUAUUCGAGCCGGCAAAGGGUUUCGUCGGAUAGAACGGAAGCUCUGGAUAAAUGUUUCGGUAUACUCGAGUAUUACCUAGAAGUUGGUGGAUUAUUGAACUGAUCACUGAAUGUAGGGGAUUGUUUAUUGUUUUUGGAGGAUAUAAGGGAAUGAGUUGGCGGGAUGUACAAUGAUGUUGAAAUGACUCCCAGGAGGAGUUUGUAUCCUUUGAAAGUGUUUGAAUAGUGAAAUGUGCAUUAUUUGUUUAAUUGUACUAUUUCAAGUGUUUGUUAAAUGUUACUUGGUAGGUAAACCUCACUGAACUUUAACUCAAUCGUUUAGUUUGUUUUUCUUACAGGAAUUGAUAGUCAGGGUUUGAACGGGGAUCUUAGAAAAUUAGCGUGAAGACUUUUGUGUUUGUGCACCCCUUUAAUAUCCUAUUAAGGGUUGAAGUUUUUGUAUUAAACUAGGUAUUGUGAAAGACUUGAACGGUUGGCUUUUGUCUUAUCAGAUGUUAUCUUUGAAGUUAAUGUAAAUAUUAG